rnacentral:misc_RNA from 1 species
GAUGAAGAACGUAGCGAAAUGCGAUAAGUAAUGUGAAUUGCAGAAUUCAGUGAAUCAUCGAAUCUUUGAACGCACAUUGCACCCGCCAGUAUUCUGGCGGGCAUGCCUGUUCGAGCGUCAUUACAACCCUCAGGCCCCCGGGCCUGGCGUUGGGGAUCGGCAGAAGCCCCCUGUGGGCACACGCCGUCCCUCAAAUACAGUGGCGGUCCCGCCGCAGCUUCCAUUGCGUAGUAGCUAACACCUCGCAACUGGAGAGCGGCGCGGCCAUGCCGUAAAACACCCAACUUCUGAAUGUUGACCUCAGAUCAGGUAGGAAUACCCGCUGAACUUAAGCAUAUCAAUAAGCGGAGGA